rnacentral:lncRNA from 1 species
CUCAACAAAUGUAGCUAGGUAGGCUAAUGUUCAAUAUGUAGCAAAUAGACCUAUCAAGGCAGUGAGGAAAGUCCCUGUUAUCUCAAACAAGUUGGAUAGACCUGUACUACAGAGACCUGUUACCGUUCGUUACCUGCACUCACAGGUGCUGGUUGCCGGUUUGUGUGAUCUUGAUGAUGGAACUCAAAGGUACAAUGCAAUGCCUGCUGAAGAGGUCACCAUAUUUUGGCGAUACAAGGAUGACCGUAAUGUCUACAAUACUGUCCUGGGAAAAUCAGACUUGACAGACCAAGACCGUCAGUUCAGAGAGAACCAGGAUUUUCCCUGAGGAAUGGGCAAACGGCAACUUCUCUCUCCUACUGACUGAUCUCAAGGACUCUGAUAGUGGGAGUUAUUCAUGUUUCAUACCAACAGAGGACAUUCUUCGUCAAGUGGAACUUUCUGUUCAAGGUUUGUAUUACAACCAAGUGUAACAGACAAUUCAUAGAGAAUGGUCAUGAUUCUGCCUUUGCUUAUCUAUACAGUAUUGGAAUUUCCAUGAACAGUUUUAAGAAGUUGAUACAGUAUUUGUAU